GUAAUGUGCCUCAUGACCCAAGUACCUCCCAUCCAGGCUCACACAGUUCCUGUGUGCAAGUGAAGACACCCACAGGGUCCCCAGAAGGACCAGGGGAGCCUGACUCAGUUCCUUCCCACUUAUGAGAACCAGGCUGACCCACAUGCAAAUUUCUCUGCAGGCUCCAGGGUAAAACCCUCCUUGGGCUGUGAGCUCACAGCUCUCUCCUCACACAGGGCUGAGGUCUCUGAAGAAGGCAGAGCUGUGGUCUAGAAGAUGAGGCUGCUGGGUCUUCUCCUGUGCCGGGUCCCCCAAGGUGUCCUGUCCCAGGUGCAGCUGCAGCAGUGGGGCCCAGGACUGGUGACGCCCUCACAGACCCUGUCCCUCACCUGCACUGUCUCUGGUUACUCCGUCACCAGUGGUCAUGAGUGGAGUUGGAUCCGUCAGCCCCCGGGGAAAGGGCUGGAGUGGAUCGGGGACAUUAGUUGUAGCGGGAAUACAGCCUAUAACCCGUUUCUCAAGAGCCGCACCUCCAUCUCCAGAGACACGUCCAAGAACCAGUUCUCCGUGCAGCUGAGCUCUGUGACCUCCAAGGACAUGGCUGUGUAUUACUGUGUGAGGGACACAGUGAGGAGAAGUCAGUGUGAGCCCAGACACAAACAUCCAUGCAGGGGACAGGAGGGCUGGUCUGCAGGGGUCACUCGGGACACACUGAGCACAGGGACCAGCCUGAGGAGCAGACAAGUGAAGAAAGGGCAGUGUCUGUAG